rnacentral:rRNA from 1 species
CCACAACGGGUGGAGCCUGCGUUUAAUUGGACUCAACGCCGGGCAGCUCACCGGAUAAGACAGCUGGAUGAUAGCCGGGCUGAAGACUCUGCUUGACUAGCUGAGAGGAGGUGCAUGGCCGUCGUCAGUUCGUACUGUGAAGCAUCCUGUUAAGUCAGGCAACGAGCGAGACCCACGCCAACAGUUGCCAGCAUGUCCUCCGGGAUGAUGGGGACACUGUUGGGACCGCCUCUGCUAAAGAGGAGGAAGGAAUGGGCAACGGUAGGUCAGCAUGCCCCGAAUUAUCCGGGCUACACGCGGGCUACAAUGGUCAGGACAAUGGGUAUCGACACCGAGAGGUGGAGGCAAUCUCCUAAACCUGUCCUUAGUUCGGAUUGUGGGCUGCAACUCGCCCACAUGAAGCUGGAAUCCGUAGUAAUCGCGUUUCAAAAUAGCGCGGUGAAUAUGUCCCUGCUCCUU